rnacentral:rRNA from 1 species
UACGGAGGAUCCAAGCGUUAUCCGGAUUUAUUGGGUUUAAAGGGUGCGUAGGCGGCCUAUUAAGUCAGGGGUGAAAGACGGUAGCUUAACUAUCGCAGUGCCUUUGAUACUGAUGGGCUUGAAUGAACUAGAGGUAGGCGGAAUGUGACAAGUAGCGAUGAAAUGCAUAGAUAUGUCACAGAACACCAAUUGCGAAGGCAGCUUACUAUGGUUUUAUUGACGCUGAGGCACGAAAGCGUGGGGAUCAAACAGG